rnacentral:rRNA from 1 species
AACGAACGCUGGCGGCAUGCCUAACACAUGCAAGUCGAACGAGACCUUCGGGUCUAGUGGCGCACGGGUGCGUAACGCGUGGGAAUCUGCCCUUGGGUUCGGAAUAACUUCGGGAAACUGAAGCUAAUACCGGAUGAUGACGUAAGUCCAAAGAUUUAUCGCCCAAGGAUGAGCCCGCGUAGGAUUAGCUAGUUGGUGAGGUAAAGGCUCACCAAGGCGACGAUCCUUAGCUGGUCUGAGAGGAUGAUCAGCCACACUGGGACUGAGACACGGCCCAGACUCCUACGGGAGGCAGCAGUGGGGAAUAUUGGACAAUGGGCGAAAGCCUGAUCCAGCAAUGCCGCGUGAGUGAUGAAGGCCUUAGGGUUGUAAAGCUCUUUACCCGGGAUGAUAAUGACAGUACCGGGAGAAUAAGCUCCGGCUAACUCCGUGCCAGCAGCCGCGGUAAUGUGACUACUG